rnacentral:rRNA from 1 species
GAGCGGAUGACGGGAGCUUGCUCCUGAAUUCAGCGGCGGACGGGUGAGUAAUGCCUAGGAAUCUGCCUGGUAGUGGGGGACAACGUCUCGAAAGGGACGCUAAUACCGCAUACGUCCUACGGGAGAAAGUGGGGGAUCUUCGGACCUCACGCUAUCAGAUGAGCCUAGGUCGGAUUAGCUAGUUGGUGAGGUAAUGGCUCACCAAGGCGACGAUCCGUAACUGGUCUGAGAGGAUGAUCAGUCACACUGGAACUGAGACACGGUCCAGACUCCUACGGGAGGCAGCAGUGGGGAAUAUUGGACAAUGGGCGAAAGCCUGAUCCAGCCAUGCCGCGUGUGUGAAGAAGGUCUUCGGAUUGUAAAGCACUUUAAGUUGGGAGGAAGGGCAUUAACCUAAUACGUUGAUGUUUUGACGUUACCGACAGAAUAAGCACCGGCUAACUCUGUG